GACGAACGCUGGCGGCGUGCCUAAUACAUGCAAGUCGAGCGGACUUUAAAAGCUUGCUUUUAAAGUUAGCGGCGGACGGGUGAGUAACACGUGGGCAACCUGCCUGUAAGACUGGGAUAACUUCGGGAAACCGGAGCUAAUACCGGAUAAUCCUUUUCCUCUCAUGAGGAAAAGCUGAAAGACGGUUUACGCUGUCACUUACAGAUGGGCCCGCGGCGCAUUAGCUAGUUGGUGAGGUAACGGCUCACCAAGGCGACGAUGCGUAGCCGACCUGAGAGGGUGAUCGGCCACACUGGGACUGAGACACGGCCCAGACUCCUACGGGAGGCAGCUGUAGGGAAUCUUCCGCAAUGGACGAAAGUCUGACGGAGCAACGCCGCGUGAGUCGACUGAACGGUUUUCCGGAUUCGUAAAACUCUGGUGUUAGGGAAGAACAAGUACAAGAGUAAACUGCUUGUACCUUGACGGUACCUAACCAGAAAGCCACGGCUAACUACGUGCCAGCAGCCGCGGUAAUACGUAGGUGGCAAGCGUUGUCCGGGAAUUUAUUGGGCGUAAAGCGCGCGCAGGGCGGUCCUUUAAGUCUGAUGUGAAAGCACCACGGCCUCAACCGUGGAGGGUCAUUGGAAACUGGGGGACUUGAGUGCAGAAGAGAAGAGUGGAAUUCCACGUGUAGCGGUGAAAUGCGUAGAGAUGUGGAGGAACACCAGUGGCGAAGGCGACUCUUUGGUCUGUAACUGACGCUGAGGCGCGAAAGCGUGGGGAGCAAACAGGAUUAGAUACCCUGGUAGUCCACGCCGUAAACGAUGAGUGCUAAGUGUUAGAGGGUUUCCGCCCUUUAGUGCUGCAGCAAACGCAUUAAGCACUCCGCCUGGGGAGUACGGCCGCAAGGCUGAAACUCAAAGGAAUUGACGGGGGCCCGCACAAGCGGUGGGAGCAUGUGGUUUAAUUCGAAGCAACGCGAAGAACCUUACCAGGUCUUGACAUCCUCUGACACUCCUAGAGAAUAGAACGUUCCCCUUCGGGGGACAGAGUGAAAGGUGGUGCAUGGUGGUCGUUCAGCUCGUGUCGUGAGAUGUUGGGUUAAGUCCCGCAACGAGCGCCAACCCCUUGGAAUCCUUAGUUGCCAGCAUUCAGUUGGGCACUCUAAGGUGACUGCCGGUGACAAACCGGAGGAAGGUGGGGAUGACGUCAAAUCAUCAUGCCCCUUAUGACCUGGGCUACACACGUGCUACAAUGGAUGGUACAAAGGGCAGCAAAACCGCGAGGUCGAGCAAAUCCCAUAAAACCAUUCUCAGUUCGGAUUGUAGGCUGCAACUCGCCUACAUGAAGCUGGAAUCGCUAGUAAUCGCGGAUCAGCAUGCCGCGGUGAAUACGUUCCCGGGCCUUGUACACACCGCCCGUCACACCACGAGAGUUUGUAACACCCGAAGUCGGUGUGGUAACCUUUUGGAGCCAGCCGCCUAAGGUGGGAUAGAUGAUUGGGGUG
rnacentral:rRNA from 2 species